UACGGAGGGGGCUAGCGUUGUUCGGAAUUACUGGGCGUAAAGCGCACGUAGGCGGCUUUGUAAGUUAGAGGUGAAAGCCCGGGGCUCAACUCCGGAAUUGCCUUUAAGACUGCAUCGCUAGAAUUGUGGAGAGGUAAGUGGAAUUCCGAGUGUAGAGGUGAAAUUCGUAGAUAUUCGGAAGAACACCAGUGGCGAAGGCGACUUACUGGACACAUAUUUGACGCUGAGGUGCGAAAAGCGUGGGGGAGCAAACAGG
rnacentral:rRNA from 1 species